UACGUAGGGUCCGAGCGUUGUCCGGAAUUACUGGGCGUAAAGAGCUCGUAGGUGGUUUGUCGCGUUGUUCGUGAAAACUCACAGCUCAACUGUGGGCGUGCGGGCGAUACGGGCAGACUGGAGUACUGCAGGGGAGACUGGAAUUCCUGGUGUAGCGGUGGAAUGCGCAGAUAUCAGGAGGAACACCGGUGGCGAAGGCGGGUCUCUGGGCAGUAACUGACGCUGAGGAAGCGAAAAGCGUGGGGGAGCGAACAGG
rnacentral:rRNA from 1 species